GCGCACAAGGUUUAGUGGUAUAAUGUUCCUUUAGUAUAGAAGAGGUCUGGCGUUCGAUUCGCUAUUACUCCA